GUAGUUCUUUAGUAUAAAAAGUAUGUUUGAUUUCCAAUCAAAGGGUACAUAGAAUU
rnacentral:tRNA from 1 species